rnacentral:rRNA from 1 species
UGGGGAAUUUUGGACAAUGGGCGAAAGCCUGAUCCAGCAAUGCCGCGUGUGUGAAGAAGGCCUUCGGGUUGUAAAGCACUUUUGUCCGGAAAGAAAUCCUUGGCUCUAAUACAGUCGGGGGAUGACGGUACCGGAAGAAUAAGCACCGGCUAACUACGUGCCAGCAGCCGCGGUAAUACGUAGGGUGCAAGCGUUAAUCGGAAUUACUGGGCGUAAAGCGUGCGCAGGCGGUUUGCUAAGACCGAUGUGAAAUCCCCGGGCUCAACCUGGGAACUGCAUUGGUGACUGGCAGGCUAGAGUAUGGCAGAGGGGGGUAGAAUUCCACGUGUAGCAGUGAAAUGCGUAGAGAUGUGGAGGAAUACCGAUGGCGAAGGCAGCCCCCUGGGCCAAUACUGACGCUCAUGCACGAAAGCGUGGGGAGCAAACAGGAUUAGAUACCCUGGUAGUCCACGCCCUAAAACGAUGUCAACUAGUUAUUGGGGAUUCAUUUCCUUAGUAACGUAGCUAACGCGUGAAGUUGACCGCCUGGGGAGUACGGUCGCAAGAUUAAAACUCAAAUGAAUUGACGGGGU